rnacentral:tRNA from 3 species
GGGCCCGUGGCCAAGCGGGAAGGCGCCUGCUUUGCAAGCAGGAGAUCGUCGGUUCGAAUCCGACCGGGUCCA